GAUGAAGAACGCAGCGAAAUGCGAUAAGUAGUGUGAAUUGCAGAAUUCCGUGAAUCAUCGAAUCUUUGAACGCACAUUGCGCCCGCGAGUAUUCUCGCGGGCAUGCCUGUCCGAGCGUCAUUUCAACCCUCAGGGCCCGCCUGCUUGCAGGCGCGGCGCUGGUGUUGGGGAUCGGCUACCCUGCCGUCCCCCAAAUACAGUGGCGGUCUCGCUGCAGCCUCCCCUGCGUAGUAGCAACACUCGCAUGCGGAGCGCGGCGCGGCCACGCCGUAAAACCCCCGACUUUCUGAACGUUGACCUCGGAUCAGGUAGGAAUACCCGCUGAACUUAAGCAUAUCAAUAAGCGGAGGA
rnacentral:misc_RNA from 1 species